rnacentral:rRNA from 1 species
CAGUAGCCGCGGGAAUACGGAGGGUGCAAGCGUUAAUCGGAAUUACUGGGCGUAAAGCGUGCGUAGGCGGUUCGUUAAGUCUGUUGUGAAAGCCCCGGGCUCAACCUGGGAAUGGCAAUGGAUACUGGCGAGCUAGAGUGUGUCAGAGGAUGGUGGAAUUCCCGGUGUAGCGGUGAAAUGCGUAGAGAUCGGGAGGAGCAUCAGUGGCGAAGGCGGCCAUCUGGGACAACACUGACGCUGAGGCACGAAAGCGUGGGGAGCAAACAGGAUUAGAUACCCCGGUAGUCCCUGUCUCUUAUAC